CUUGGGGCUCAGAGGACAGUGCGAGCGCUGGGGUGUGCGAGGUUCGAGGGAGAAAGUCUCAAGAGGCCUUAUGUCGACCCUGGCUCCCUCCACCCUGACCUGAGCCCUGGAGGGCAGGAACCCGGUCCAACUCACCCUGGCACCUUGGAGCACUUCUGCAGAAGUCAGCUGCCAUAUGUUGAGACACUCAAGCAGCCUACAGUGAGGCCCACAUCAUGAGGAACUGAGGCCUCCUGCCAACGGCCAGUAAGAAACUGAGGCCUCUGUGUUGUAAGGGAGCCAUCCUGAAAGUGGAUCCUCCAGCCCCAGUCAGGCCUUCAGAGGGGUGCAGCUGACAUAUUGACCACACCUUCAUGAGAAACCCUGAGCCGGAACCCUGCAGCCACACAACUUCUGAAUUCCUCACCCACGGAAACUACAAGAUAAGAGAGACUUGAAAAUGUGUAAAUAAAGAUUGGAGGGAUCCAGUUGAGAGCUAACGUUUAAAUAUGAAUCCAGAAGAGAAAAUGAAUCCAGAAAAGAAAAUGAAUCAUUGAUAGUGUAAGAUUCGUAUGAAGGAGAGGAGGAGAUAAGGAUUGGUUUGGAUAGGAGAGACACCAACCACUCCUAUGGCAACAGGAAGAAGAUUGGUUCAGACGCAGGAAGAAGAAAGAGAAAGAGAACGAAGAGAAGGAGAGGAUGAAAAAAGAGAAGGAGGAGGAGAAAGAGACAGAGACGGACAGACAGAGAAAGGAAGGGAAAAAAAAGAGUGGAUCGUGAGAAAGCAAACCAUGAAAAAGGAACUCACAGAAUCCAAGAAACAGGAGAUCCAGCCCAGGAAAGAGGCAGAAGGAGGUGCCAGUGCUCCAGCUGCCCAGCAGGUCUGGAGAGGAAUCCAUCUCAAUCAGAGCAGGAGAGCAGAGAACGAGGG
rnacentral:lncRNA from 1 species